AUUGAACGCUGGCGGCAUGCCUUACACAUGCAAGUCGAACGGUAGCACGGGAGCAAUCCUGGUCGCGAGGGGCGAACGGGUGAGUAAAGCAUCGGAACGUGCCCAGUCGGGGGCGAUAACGGAGCGAAAGCUACGCCAAUACCGCAUACGAGCUGGGGAUGAAAGCGGGGGACCGUAAGGCCUCGCGCGACUGGAGCGGCCGAGGUCAGAUGAGGUAGUUGGUGAGGUAAAGGCUCACCAAGCCGACGAUCUGUAGCUGGUCUGAGAGGACGACCAGCCACACUGGGACUGAGACACGGCCCAGACUCCUACGGGAGGCAGCAGUGGGGAAUUUUGGACAAUGGGCGCAAGCCUGAUCCAGCAAUGCCGCGUGCAGGAAGAAGGCCUUCGGGUUGUAAACUGCUUUUGUACGGGGCGAAACGGCUUCCAGUAAUACUGGGGGCGAAUGACGGUACCGUAAGAAUAAGCACCAGCUAACUACGUGCCAGCCGCCGCGGUAAAAC
rnacentral:rRNA from 1 species